rnacentral:misc_RNA from 1 species
UCAGAUGUUGCAUGACCUUGCCAAUGACAGUGGACUGAUUUCCAGAAGGAAAAAGAACAUAAUAAUAGGACAUAAGAACAGAGAGAGAAAAAAGAAAAUGGAAAAGAAAAAAGAGGCUGUAGUAGGUGUUGUGAUGAUGUCUUUUAGCAUUGUGUAUUUAUUAGGUUUAAUUUGGUUCUUAAAAUAGAGAAGGAAAAAGAUAGGAUAAGAACAGUUGAUUCAUGGUUUAGUUGCUUAUCCCUUUUCCUCGUUUUCCUAAUAUCUCUCAUCCAUUCUCUUCUUUUCCUCGUACGUAUGAUAGU